rnacentral:rRNA from 1 species
UACGUAGGGUGCGAGCGUUAAUCGGAAUUACUGGGCGUAAAGCGUGCGCAGGCGGUUUGUUAAGACAGAUGUGAAAUCCCCGGGCUUAAACCUGGGAACUGCAUUUGUGACUGGCAAGCUAGAGUAUGGGCAGAGGGGGGUAGAAUUCCACGGUGUAGCAGUGAAAAUGCGUAGAGAUCGGGAGGAACAUCAGUGGCGAAGGCGGCCUCUGGGACAACACUG